UCUCAGUUUCAUCUCUCUCAAGACGUGGUCCUUCCAUUAUUCUACCCCAAUCCUACUUCUCAAGAGGAAGUUAGGUGGCAACGUUUGGAUGUUAAGAACUGUCUAUCUAUGUACCUUUUUAGUUCUAAGUCAUACAGAAAGUCUGACCUACUCUUCAUUCUACCUUCAGGAGCUAGGAGAGGUGAGGUGGCCUCUUUAUCUACAUUGAAACAUUGGAUUUCGCUAAUAGUCUGGAAAGCAUAUAUCUCUAAAGGUCAGUCUCCUCAUAAUUGGACAGAGGUUCCAUACUUUGAUAUUUGCAGGGCAGCCACCUGGUCUUCCCCAAUGACGUUCAUAAAACACUACAAUCUGGACGUGGCUUCUCCUUCCAUCUCCUUUGGGAAGAGUGUUCUGUCUACAGUUUCUUUAUCCCACUGAUAUUACAUUUCUUUGCAGCAUGAGAGUCUUAGUGUCUUUUUCUCGGUUUAUUAUUCCCACCCUAUAAUUCUGUGAGCUUGGGUAUUACCCAUAAGUGAUGCUGCCAUGAUUAG